rnacentral:lncRNA from 1 species
AUGUCAAGUUCAGGUUACCCUCCCAACCAAGGAGCUUUCAGCACAGAGCAAAGUCGUUAUCCUUCACAUUCUGUCCAGUAUACCUUUUCCAGUACCAGACACCAGCAGGAAUUUGCAGUUCCUGACUACUGCUCUUCUCGUAUUGAAGUUAGUCAGGCAUCAAAGCUUUUACAGCAGCAGCAGCAAGAGCAGCUUCUAAGACGACCUUCCUUGCUUUCAGAAUUUCACCAGGGUUCUGACAGGCCUCAAGAAAGAAGAACUGAAUAUGAACAGUUUCACACAGAACCCUCACCGGUGGAUCAUGAUUCUUUGGAGUCCGAGCGCCCACGUCUGGAGCCGAUUUCUGAUGCCCAUUUCCAGCGUGUUAGUGCUGGGGUUUUACCUUUAGUUCACUCGCUGCCAGAAGGCUUGAGGUCGUCUGCAGAUGCUAAGAAAGAUUCAGCAUUUGGAGGCAAAAUGAAGUUCCAUCCUCUCCUUUGGCUGGGCAACCAUGUGGAGAUGAUCAAAAUGCCUCACCUUAAAAGCUUUCAAAGGAAGAGUUAAUACAGAGUACAUCAUCAGAAAGGCUCUCAUGGGACGUUUGGAUGAUAAAGUUGAAGAUCAUGGUGUUGUCAUGCCUCAUUCUGUGGGCAUUAUGCCUGGUAGUGGCAGCACCUCAGUUGAGACACGGAGAGAUGAAGGAGAUCCAUCAACUCAUGCAGGGGUAUGCAAACCAAAGCUGAUCAACAAAUCAAACAGCAGGAAGUCUAAAUCUCCUAUUCCUGGGCAAAGCUAUUUAGGAACUGAAAGGCCAUCUUCUGUCUCCUCUGUACAUUCAGAAGGUGAUUACCACAGGCAGACACCAGGAUGGGCAUGGGAAGACUGGCCCUCUUCAACAGGUUCUACUCAGUUUCCUUACAACCUUCUGACCAUACGGAUGCUCAGCAAUACACCACCUACACUGGUCGCAUGCGCCCCAUCUGCCAUCACCCAAGCAGCUCCACAUCAACAGAACCACAUUUGGGAGAGGGAACCUGCCCUGCUCCUCUCAGCGCAGUAUGAGACACUGUCUGAUAGUGACGACUGA